UGGUGCUUGAUUUAGUCGAUGUGCUAUGCCUGAUAAUCUAGAUUAGUAACUCUAAAAUCUAGUUAAAGUAUUUCUAUUCGUCAGUUUCAGUUAUAGGUAUCCAUGGUUGUUGUGUCUAAGUAUUGUUAGCCUUCGACGUUAUGCUUAACUAAGUAAAGCAUAGAUCUUGUGAUAAAAAAAUUAUAUAAUGAUUGAGUUAGAUUGAGUUAAGCUAGAGAACAUGAUUAUUGUGUCUGAUUGUAUAGACCUAUUUAGUGCUUGAUUAUGAACAUUUGUGAGAUUUUGCCAUUACGUCUACUUUAAUGUGACAUUAUUUAGUCUUGUUAUUUCCCUGUAUAAUCAUUCAUGUGCAUUAUGCAUAUCAUUCAGGUUCGUUAAUUGAUCACGUGAUGCGGACGACAAGAGCCGAGUUGAUCCCAAAAUGAUGCUAGUGAACGAAUCUGAAGCUUGGAUGAUCUGGUCAAGUACCAGGAUGAGAGAUGCUCCCCAAGCGAACAUCAUCUAACAACACUAACGUAGUGUUAUCACAGGCAAGCCCCGGUGCAUUUGUCCCUUCCUUGUUAUUUAAAUGAUUUAUCACCUUAUAUGAUGCAUUAGGUGAUAGGAGUUGUGUGAUAAACAAUUGAUGCAUUACCUUUCCUUGGAAUUCGAUUAUUAUUCCUUGAUACCUGUUUUAUAAAAAGAACUGAUAACGCUUAUCCCUGCUUAGAAGCUGAAAAUCGUUUGUUUAAAAAAGAAUCAUGUGGAACACUGUUACGGGCUUUUGUUUAAAAAUCAAAGCAAACUUAUGGUGAUGAUUCCCCUUCAGCCAGAGUGGGUUCAUCAUUUGGAAAAGAGUAUCCCUGCCGGGUACCAAAAAUGGGAGAAUGGAUGGAAUAAAUCUAGACCAGACGCUGAGCAGGAAAGGUCGCCCGUCUGUGUCGAUUAAGGACCGCACCGAAAGUAGGCUUGCUGAUCUAGGGCCCUUUAACUGGCCACAUGCCUCGUCAUGGGUAAGCUUAGCCUCGGCUGGACCAAUACCAGAAAGGCUGGCCCGCAAUGGGAGUGGAGAGAUGGCGAGAGUAUCGUGUAUCUACCUGGCAAGAGGCUGGAUGGUGGGGUACUAAGCUCUCGGUUGGUGGGGACCCGUUCUGGUCUUGAGAAAACCGUGGGCGAGUUGACAUAUGCAAGAGUUAAGUGCUACAUAUGUCGUAUGGUUGGAGAUCCUCAGCUGAGUAUUAAUCGAUUCGGAUCGCUGUUACUUCUCGGAUAUGAAGACUGGAUCACUGCCCUGCAUCGUAGAUAACAAGUGAAAUUAAAGAUGCUAAAAUAAAGCUAGUGUAGGACAAGUGAAUGCUCUAGAUUAGAAAAUCUAGAUUUAGGAAAAGUACUUAACUGGUGAAGUAAAAGCUUGGCAUAAGGGUCCAUUACUAGUAAGCUUUUCUGCAAAAAUGAGUCUUUGAAACUUGAUGAGCCUUACCUUGAAUCCUUUUAAACCAAACAUACCCUUGAGAGUCUUUUCUUUAGUCGGGUAAGUCUUGCUGAGUAAUUGCGUACUCAGGGUUUUAUUCCCUGUUGUUUUUCAGGAUUAUAAGUUUGUUCUAUUGUGGAUGGUGCUAAGUGCCGGUGGGCUCGGCCUUCUUAUAUAAGUAUAUCCCAUCUUUAGCUUCUUUAUUGAGGAUUGUCACUUAAGCUAGCAUGUAUUUUCAAAUUUACAAAUACUUUAUAACAUUUCAAAUUUGUAAUUCUUUUGAAUCAAUUUCUCUUGUAAUCAC
rnacentral:lncRNA from 1 species